rnacentral:rRNA from 1 species
UACGUAGGGUGCGAGCGUUGUCCGGAUUUAUUGGGCGUAAAGAGCUUGUAGGCGGCUCGAUCACGUCGGGGUGUGAAACUCGCGGCUCAACCGCGAGCCUGCACCCGAUACGGGCGGGCUGGAGUUGACGGCAGGGGAGACUGGAAUUCCUGGUGUAGCGGUGGAAUGCGCAGAUAUCAGGAGGAACACCGGUGGCGAAGGCGGGUCUUCUGGGCCGAUACUGACGCUGAGAAGCGAAAGCGUGGGGAGCGAACAGG